rnacentral:rRNA from 1 species
CGCGUAGACGGUUUUGUAAGUCAGAUGUGAAAUCCCUGGGCUCAACCUGGGAACUGCAUUUGAGACUGCAUGGCUAGAGUAUGGAAGAGGGAAGUGGAAUUUCCGGUGUAGCGGUGAAAUGCGUAGAUAUCGGAAGGAACACCAGUGGCGAAAGCGACUUCCUGGUCCAAUACUGACGUUCAUGUGCGAAAGCGUGGGGAGCAAACAGGAUUAGAUACCCUGGUAGUCCACGCCAUAAACGAUGACAACUAGAUGUUGGGAGGGUCUGCCUCUCGGUGUCGCAGCUAACGCGUUAAGUUGUCCGCCUGGGGAGUACGGCCGCAAGGUUGAA